GGCUGCGCGCUGGCCUUGGGCCCAGGGCCUUAAGCCAUCGCAAACAUUUACUUCGGGGCCGGCUGAUGGAAGGUUAAAUGUUCAAACCGGGAAACCGCGGGCUGCAUUGGGGGCCGCGGCGGGCGAGGGGCGGGGCGCGGCACGGGGCGCAGCCCCCGGCCGUUCCCGGGUGUCUCUCCCCGGCAGCCCGGGCUGGGCACCAGGCGGCGCGCGGGCUUGUUUGCGGGCGGGGGCUGCAGCCGGGCGGAGACGACCCGCGCCCGCGGGGGUGGGCGGAGGUGGGGCCGGGCUUCCGGACAGAAGCCAAUCGAUGCCCUCGGAGCCUGUAGCGCCGGCCCAGGGCAGAGGCUGCGGGAGCGCGGAAGAGGUGCCGUGGGCUGCCGGGGGGUGCAGGGGGCCGUGGGUAGCGGAGGAAGCCUGGGUGCAGGGGACGGCCGGGGUGCGCAGAGGCUGCCUCAACACCUAGAGGUCUGGGGUGGGGGGGGUUGGCGUACAGCGGGGUGGCGAGGCCGAGGCUGGGUGCUGGGGGAAGGGCGACGGCUUGGAGUGUAGAGGAGGGGUGAGGGGCGUAGGGCGCUGGAGGUCAGAGGUCUCUCAAGCGCGAAGGAGGGGAGGGUUUUGGAGCUCUUGGGGGUGGGUCCGCCGAAUGGGGGCGCCGAGUGCUGGGGAGUACAGGUCCAGGCGCUGCGGGUCGCGGGGACACCGGGGCUGCCCCAGGACUGAGGACAGACGGAGGCGGGGGCGCAGGCUGGGAGGCUGGGGCUUGGGAGCGCGGUCAAAGGCAGAGGCUGUGGUUGCGCGGGGGAAGGGAGACGUGCAGGGCGUGGAACGGAUUCGGGGGCUCUCGGGGAGGAGGGCGAGGGGCGCAGGGGUGGGCCGGGGGGGCCUGGAGUGACGGGGGAAGGGGCGUCUGGCCGGUGGGCGCGGGCAGAAGCAGCGCAACCAAGCUCGGAGGAGGUGCAGAUCCCGGGGUCCGGGAGCUCAGGGGUGGGGCCAGGGAGUGGACGGGGCGGGGUAACCGGGGAGCGCCAGCUGGGGUGGGGAAAGAAGAUGCCCAGAACUCCAAGCAGGUGCGCGGGGCGGCGGGGCGGCUGCUCAUACCGCAGAGGUCGCUCGGGGUUCCGGGGGCGAUGUCGUUGCUGGGCACUUGAGUAAUUAAACGCAGCGGGGUCGCAGGUGACAGCGGGGAGGACAGGGGAUCAAGGGGACCCUGGCCAGAGGGCAGGAGGCUGACCUUGAGCGCCACGGAGGCAGUGCGGGGAGGGCCGGGGUCCCGUGGGGCGCAGUGACACCGGGUGCGUAGCUGGCCGGGGGUGACGCUGGCGGCGCCUGAGGCUCAGGGUGUCGAGACCGCCACGCGGUCGCCCGCAGGCCUGGAAGUCCACGCCGGUUCCUGGAGACGGCGCCUCUGCUCUGAGGGUUCCGUGGUGGGGAAGUCUACCCACUGCACCCCGGCGCCCACUGCACGCGGCCCGGAGGACCAUGUCGGGCCGCCACUGCAGACAGCAUGUCUGUAGGGUUUGAUCAGCUGCAUUUGCUCCCAAGGCACCUGAUGAAAGGGGUUUUCCCUCGUCUUUCUGCUAAUGCAUUUCUUCAUCCUUCACGCAUUCCUUCCCUCCUUUGCACCUACUGUGUUCUUGUGGUCAGGGAAGUAUGUGCAAGGGAGUUCUGGUGGCUGAAGCAUUCCAGUUCCUGGAGAAGAGAGGCAUCGAAACAGGCAGACAGCAUGAAAGGCACCGCCAUGCUUGCAUCAGGAGAGACGGUUUGCAGGAGUGCUGGUUUCUAUGGCGUCCCUCAGAUUUCUUUCAUUGAAGCCUCCUUGUUCGGCCUUCCCAAUUGAAAAGUGCCUCAAAUGUAGCUGGGGUUUGAAAAGCUUGAAACCAGAAGGCACCUCUGGCAUCAUGGUGAAUCGUCAGGGGCCGACUUUGACUUUCCUGGUGGAGAAAACAGUGAAUAACUUUUCAAAGUCUCCUGUGUUGCUGACCUCUGGUUAUUGUUUUUGAAUUAUCAUUUCUGAGACAUCUCUGUGGCAUGGUGGCAGAUUCCUGUGGAUUCCAUCAUAAAUCAAGGACAUGGAUGGAGACCAUAUUCUAUUCCCUCUAGUUACGAAUAAGCCUGGAAAAGACUCAGGAAGGACCACGUUCCACAGGACUCCCAUAGUUCUGAAACAUUCUGCUUUUCUUCACAGAGCAUUUAUAUGAGAAGAGGCUUAAAGAAACCAACAAAAAUAAACGUUUCUCUUUUGGAAGUGAUUAUAGAAAAACCACACCCACCACGAUGAUGUGAUUCAAAGCAUUUGGAACCUACAAUUCAUACUGGAUAUGUCAUUUUUUUAGGAUGAGCUUUAUGAGCUGGAAAAGAAAUGACUUUGAUACCAGAGUAAAAUACAAAAAAUCUAAUUAGAAAAGUUGUUUUUAAACAACUUUUAUUUCUAGUCUUUGGAGACUAACAGAAUGACUUGCAUGGAUAUCCUGUGUAAAAUGUUGGAUAGCAGAAAUGACAGAAUCUAAGAGCACAUUAGUUAACAGUCUUUACUACUGAAACCCCAGUCUGUGUUGAGAAUACAAAAUGGUAAUCAUGUACGCAUUUUAGCACUGUUGUUUUCUAACCUCACUCUCAGCGAUGCCCAGAGGCUACCCUCAUGUCUUUGGGUAGUUUUUUAUUCCCAUUUUUAUUCUUCCCACCCACCCUUAAUCUCCUGUUGCCUAUGAGAGCAAUGGUGGCCAACGUCUUGUACAACAUUAGAUGCCAGAAGUAGGAAAUUGCAAAGCAUGUGAUGUAACUGUUUUCUGUUUGUCUUUGCAUCCACAUUUGCACUGUGAUCACACAGCAAUUUACCUUGAUUGUCUGCAUAGUAUAAGGACCACCUCCGAGCUAACAACGUUCUUUGCUUUAUUUUGAAUCUGUCUUCACCAUCUGUAAUUUUUGGCAUACUAUGGCUAUUUCGAUUAAGUGGAUGCUCCUUUUUGCUAUCCUAUACCCGUAUUUUUCUUCCGCAUUUUUCCCAUUUAUUUUUUGUUUUCUUGGGAGUCUUCUUCUGUCACCAGGCUCACUGUCACAUUGUCUUACCAAUCUCAGGUUAUCCUCCCACUUCCGCCUCCCGAGUAUCUGAGACUACAGAUGUGUGCCACCAUGCCCAGCUAAGUUUUUUGCAUUUUCUUGUAGAGAUGGUGUUUCACAUCUACAAGAUGUUUUCCAGGCUGGUCUCAAACUCCUGGGCUCAAGCGAUCUUCUUGCCUCAGCCUCUUAAAGUUCUGGGAUAACAGUUUAAUUUCCAGGGCGGUAGCUGGAGAAUUGAGAAGGAGAGAGGAAACAGUUGUUAUUGUUGUUGUUUUUCCUUCUGCUCUGCUGGCACCCUGUGGAAAUUCUUAAACAUUUUGGUUAGGAAGAAUUAAUAUCGUGAAAAUGGCUAUACUGCCCAAAGUAAUUUACAGAAUCAACGCUAUCCCCAUCAAGAUACCAUUGACUUUCUUCACAGAACUGGAAAAAACCACCAUGAACUUCAUAUGGAACCAAAAGAGAGCCCGCAUAGCCAAGUCAAUUCUAAGCAAGAA